rnacentral:rRNA from 1 species
GAUGAACGCUGGCGGCGUGCCUAAUACAUGCAAGUCGAGCGAACAGACGAGGAGCUUGCUCCUCUGACGUUAGCGGCGGACGGGUGAGUAACACGUGGAUAACCUACCUAUAAGACUGGGAUAACUUCGGGAAACCGGAGCUAAUCCCGGAUAAUAUAUUGAACCGCAUGGUUCAAUAGUGAAAGACGGUUUUGCUGUCACUUCUAGAUGGAUCCGCGCCGCAUUAGCUAGUUGGUAAGGUAACGGCUUACCAAGGCAACGAUGCGUAGCCGACCUGAGAGGGUGAUCGGCCACACUGGAACUGAGACACGGUCCAGACUCCUACGGGAGGCAGCAGUAGGGAAUCUUCCGCAAUGGGCGAAAGCCUGACGGAGCAACGCCGCGUGAGUGAUGAAGGUCUUCGGAUCGUAAAACUCUGUUAUUAGGGAAGAACAAAUGUGUAAGUAACUAUGCACGUCUUGACGGUACCUAAUCAGAAAGCCACGGCUAACUACGUG